CGAACGCUGGCGGCGUGCUUAACACAUGCAAGUCGAACGGCAAGGCCCUGCUUUUGUGGGGUGCUCGAGUGGCGAACGGGUGAGUAGCACGUGAGUAACCUGCCCUUGACUUUGGGAUAACUUCAGGAAACUGGGGCUAAUACCGGAUAGGAGCUCCUGCUGCAUGGUGGGGGUUGGAAAGUUUCGGCGGUUGGGGAUGGACUCGCGGCUUAUCAGCUUGUUGGUGGGGUAGUGGCUUACCAAGGCUUUGACGGGUAGCCGGCCUGAGAGGGUGACCGGCCACAUUGGGACUGAGAUACGGCCCAGACUCCUACGGGAGGCAGCAGUGGGGAAUAUUGCACAAUGGGCGGAAGCCUGAUGCAGCAACGCCGCGUGCGGGAUGACGGCCUUCGGGUUGUAAACCGCUUUCGCCUGUGACGAAGCGUGAGUGACGGUAAUGGGUAAAGAAGCACCGGCUAACUACGUG
rnacentral:rRNA from 1 species